rnacentral:tRNA from 1 species
GCGCCAGUGGUCUAGUGGUAUGACGUGGCCUUGCCAAGGCUGCAGACCGGGUUCGAUUCCCGGCUGGCGCA